rnacentral:rRNA from 1 species
GACGAACGCUGGCGGCGUGCUUAACACAUGCAAGUCGAACGAUGAACCCGGAGCUUGCUCUGGGGGAUUAGUGGCGAACGGGUGAGUAACACGUGGGCAACCUGCCCCAGACACUGGGAUAACUUCGGGAAACCGAAGCUAAUACCGGAUACGACCACUUCAGGCAUCUGAUGGUGGUGGAAAGUUUUUCGGUCUGGGAUGGGCCCGCGGCCUAUCAGCUUGUUGGUGGGGUAAUGGCCUACCAAGGCGACGACGGGUAGCCGGCCUGAGAGGGCGACCGGCCACACUGGAACUGAGACACGGUCCAGACUCCUACGGGAGGCAGCAGUGGGGAAUAUUGCACAAUGGGCGCAAGCCUGAUGCAGCGACGCCGCGUGAGGGACGAAGGUCUUCGGAUUGUAAACCUCUUUCAGCAGGGACGAAGCGAAAGUGACUGUACCUGCAAAAGAAGCACCGGCUAACUACGUG